rnacentral:rRNA from 1 species
UACGGGGGGGAGCAAGCGUUGUUCGGAUUUACUGGGCGUAAAGGGCGCGUAGGCGGCCACCGCAAGUCGGUUGUGAAAUCUCUGGGCUUAACCCAGAAAGGUCAACCGAUACUGCGGGGCUAGAGUGCAGAAGGGGCAACUGGAAUUCUCGGUGUAGCGGUGAAAUGCGUAGAGAUCGGGAGGAACACCAGAGGCGAAGGCGGCGACCUGGACAGAUACUGACACUCAACACGAAAGCGUGGGGAGCAACAGG